UACGGGGGGUGCGAGCGUUGUCCGGAAUCACUGGGCGUAAAGGGCGCGUAGGUGGCGCGGGCAGUCAACGGUGAAAGCUCGGGGCUCAACCCCGAGUCGGCCGUCGAUACUCCCGUGCUUGAGCACUGUAGAGGCAGGUGGAAUUCCGGGUGUAGCGGUGGAAUGCGUAGAGAUCCGGAAGAACACCGGUGGCGAAGGCGGCCUGCUGGGCAGUAGCUGACACUGAGGCGCGACAGCGGUGGGAGCAAACAGG
rnacentral:rRNA from 1 species